AAUAAACGAAUUUCUAAGUUUUUUGGGUGAAAUUUUUGACUAUUCAUCUUAUUUAAAUUUUUUUAUGAUUAAUAUUUUUAUUGUUGCUAUAUGAUAAAACAUGAAUAGUACUUUACGUGUAACUAAUUUUUUUCAGUUUUUUAAUAAAUUUUUCAAAUAAGACGGAUGAUUAAACACUCGAACUAGAAAACCCAGAAAUUCUCUUUUU
rnacentral:pre_miRNA from 1 species